GACGAACGCUGGCGGCGUGCCUAAUACAUGCAAGUAGAACGCAGUUGCGAACGGGUGAGUAACGCGUAGGUAACUGCCUCUUAGCGGGGGAUAACUAUUGGAAACGAUAGCUAAUACCGCAUACUGUGUGAUUGACCUGCGUUGUCUUAGCUAGUUGGUGAGGUAAAGGCCCACCAAGGCGACGAUACAUAGCCGGCCUGAGAGGGUGAACGGCCAAACUGGGACUGAGACACGGCCCAGACGCCUACGGGAGGCAGCAGUAGGGAAUCUUCCGCAAUGGACGGAAGUCUGACCGAGCAACGCCGCGUGAGUGAAGAAGGUUUUCGGGUCGUAAAGCUCUGUUGUUAGAGACGCGGUACCUAAACAGAAAGCGACGGCUAACUACGUGCCAGCAGCCGCGGUAAUAC
rnacentral:rRNA from 1 species